AAAAAGCAUGGCCGGUGCUGCGACAUUGAGGGAGAGAAUUGAGAGUUGACACUUCUUCUCUUCCGUCGCGGCUGAGAAAAUACGGCUGAACUUGAACUAGAUAAUGCUAGCGCCAAGAACAUGCCAAUUGGAAGAC
rnacentral:ncRNA from 1 species